CACGCCGUAAACGAUGAUAACUAGCUGUCUGGGCUCUUAGAGCUUAGGUGGCGCAGCUAACGCAUUAAGUUAUCCGCCUGGGGAGNACGCGCAGAACCUUACCAGCGUUUGACAUGUCCGGACGAUUUCCAGAGAUGGAUCUCUUCCCUUCGGGGACUGGAACACAGGUGC
rnacentral:rRNA from 1 species